UACGGAGGGUGCAAGCGUUAUCCGGAUUCACUGGGUUUAAAGGGUGCGUAGGUGGGUUUGUAAGUCAGUGGUGAAAUCUCCGUGCUUAACAUGGAAACUGCCAUUGAUACUACAGGUCUUGAAUUUUCCGGAGGUCAGCGGAAUAUGUCAUGUAGCGGUGAAAUGCUUAGAUAUGACAUAGAACACCAAUUGCGAAGGCAGCUCACUACGGAUAUAUUGACACUGAGGCACGAAAGCGUGGGGGAUCAAACAGG
rnacentral:rRNA from 1 species